GGGAGGAGAUCACUGGAAUGAUGAUUGUUGCGCUGGGGCGUUACUGGCAUGCAGAGCACUUCCGAUGUGCAAGAUGCGGCAUACCCUUCAAAGCAGUUGGACUUCCACACUACGAGCACGGCGGGAAAGCCUACUGUGAACAGCACUUCCAUGAGUUAUUCAGUGACUUCUGCUACGCCUGUGACCAGCCCAUAACGGAUGAAAGUAAGCAAAAAUUAUA